rnacentral:rRNA from 1 species
GAUGAACGCUGGCGGCGUGCCUAAUACAUGCAAGUCGAGCGAACGGACGAGAAGCUUGCUUCUCUGAUGUUAGCGGCGGACGGGUGAGUAACACGUGGAUAACCUACCUAUAAGACUGGGAUAAUUUCGGGAAACCGGAGCUAAUACCGGAUGAUCUUUUGAACCGCAUGGUUCAAAAGUGAAAGACGGUCUUGCUGUCACUUAUAGAUGGAUCCGCGCUGCAUUAGCUAGUUGGUAAGGUAACGGCUUACCAAGGCAACGAUGCAUAGCCGACCUGAGAGGGUGAUCGGCCACACUGGAACUGAGACACGGUCCAGACUCCUACGGGAGGCAGCAGUAGGGAAUCUUCCGCAGUGGGCGAAAGCCUGACGGGGCAACGCCGCGUGAGUGAUGAAGGUCUUCGGAUCGUAAAACUCUGUUAUGAGGGAAGAACAUAUGUGUAAGUAACUGUGCACAUCUUGACGGUACCUAAUCAGAAAGCCACGGCUAACUACGUG